rnacentral:rRNA from 1 species
CGGCGGACGGGUGAGUAAUGCCUAGGAAUCUGCCGUGGUAGGUGGGGAUAACGCUCGGAAACGGACGCUAAUACCGCAUACGUCCUACGGGAGAAAGCAGGGGACCUUCGGGCCUUGCGCUAUCAGAUGAGCCUAGGUCGGAUUAGCUAGUUGGUGAGGUAAUGGCUCACCAAGGCGACGAUCCGUAACUGGUCUGAGAGGAUGAUCAGUCACACUGGAACUGAGACACGGUCCAGACUCCUACGGGAGGCAGCAGUGGGGAAUAUUGGACAAUGGGCGAAAGCCUGAUCCAGCCAUGCCGCGUGUGUGAAGAAGGUCUUCGGAUUGUAAAGCACUUUAAGUUGGGAGGAAGGGCAGUUACCUAAUACGUAUCUGUUUUGACGUUACCGACAGAAUAAGCACCGGCUAACUCUGUG